rnacentral:pre_miRNA from 1 species
GGACGGAUGGCGUAACCGUAGCAAAACUUAUGCGUUUUCAAACUAAAACGCACUAGUGUAAACGGGGCCUGAGUCCUUCUGG